rnacentral:rRNA from 1 species
UACGGGGGGAGCAAGCGUUGUUCGGAUUUACUGGGCGUAAAGGGCGCGUAGGCGGCCACCGCAAGUCAGUUGUGAAAUCUCUGGGCUUAACCCAGAAAGGUCAACUGAUACUGCGGGGCUAGAGUGCAGAAGGGGCAACUGGAAUUCUCGGUGUAGCGGUGGAAUGCGUAGAUAUCGAGAGGAACACCUGCGGCGAAGGCGGGUUGCUGGGCUGACACUGACGCUGAUGCGCGAAAGCUAGGGGAGCGAACGGG